GCGUGCUCUCUCUCUCUCUCCAAUUAAACUCCUCUCUCUCUCUCCAAUUAAACUCCUUUCAGUUUCUUCGUAACCUAUCAAAACCCUAAUUGACAGUCAUAUUCAAUCAAAAUUGGAGUUUCUCAUACCUAUCAAAACCGGUCACAUAUUCAUGUCCUUUAUGCUACUGGAUGCGAUUCUCUCAUAAGAACAAAUCAUCCCCCUUUGCACGUUUUAAUUACAGUGCUUUAUGGUGAAACAAAUAACAUCGUGAAAAAAGAUGGAAGUUACCAGUAACGAACCAGAAGAAACCCGUGUUCUAACUCCACUGAGAUUCUUACGGGGCGUGUUUUGUUUACUCGUGUUGCUUUCAACUGCAUUCGUGAUAUUAGUCUACUGCGGUUUCAUCACGGCUGUUAUCUUUAGACUUUUUAGCGUACAUUACAGCCGAAAGGCAACUGCCUUUUUCUUCGGCAGCUGGCUGGCGUUGUGGCCUCUUUUAUUUGAGAAAAUAAACAAAACGAAAGUAAUAUUUUCCGGAGAAACCGUUCCUGCGACUAGGGUCAUUCCGUUAACUCGAUAUACAACUUAAUGAGGCUAUGAAACCUUUAAGCUUCAAUACGACACAUAUACGAUCCAUUGGCGAGCAUACCACGUUGGUCAAUGAGCCCAUUUUUCCAUCUUCAUGAAUCUUGACAAAAGGAAAGUUAGUUACAUCUUCUUCAAUUACUUCAACAAUAUAGGAUGAAAUUGCGUGUUCUGUUGAUAGACACCAGUUUUUCAAAGUCACCAGUGGUGAUAAUUACCAUCACAUCUUUGACGGUUGCAUAAUAUCAUGUUGCGAUCUGGCCAUUUUCUUUUUUUGUUCUUAGGUGAACUUUGAGGAGGUUAAGAAAGAUCUUAAUCUGGUUCCAUCGGUUCCUCAAAAGUCUCUUGCUCACCAGAAAUAUGAAAAUAUGCUGAUGUGGUUAAAGCUUCUGUUAAUGAACAUAUUAAUUGAACCCUAUAUCAUUAUAGUUGAGACUUGAUUCAUUCAAUGGGUGCCAAACUCAUCUAUUUCCAAUUCCACCAGAAAGCACCAGUUUGUAUCAGCAGUUCAGCACCUUCACGGGCUUCAAGGUGCGACGGGGGAUGAAGAUGAGUCUGUGGUACAUAUCACAAACAGAAAGCAAGCGGAAGUUGCACCCAAGAGAAUAUUCUUGAAUGUUGCUAAACCAAGCUCCAAGUUUGUCAACGAGCUGAGCUGCAAUUGAGUUACUUGAGAUUGGCCUUGAAUCGAGCCGAGCAUAGACCUCAUUUAAUAAACAAGCGCGAGCUACGCUUAUGGAGCUUGACUAGAUGUGUGCUUUUUUAAAAGUUUUGCUUUCACACCUUAGUUCAUCACUUCAUGACUUGCUUGGGUUAUAGAAUUUUAAGUUUUGAAGUUGCAAUGCUCUUAUCUAGCUCCAAGCUGUUCAAGUCCCAUCAUAUUUCUAUCUAAUAUAGGGUGAUGACAUUGAGAUAACACCAGAUUGGAUAUUUAACCAGAGUUUCGCUGCAUCUAGGCCAGAUGCUGCUACAUCAAGUAGUGUGGAUGCUAGAUGAUCUCAUGGGGAUGGAAGUUAGAUUCUCAUACUUACGAGUUUUUUCGUACUUUUGGAAACAUUAGAUGGGGAAUAUUAACAUUGUUAUGGUCAGACACGACUGAUUGGGUUAUUGAGUCACUAUGUUUUUUAGCGAUGAUAAAGUGGUUUUAUGUUGCACACGCGUACAAAGGAAGAUGGAUGAUUUUUGACGAUGAUAAAGUGGGCGUAUCUAAGAAUCCUCCAAAAGACAUUGCAUACCUCUCCUUUAUUGGAUGAUUCAAAGUUGAGUAUUUUUAUCUUAUUCUAUGACUUGGAUCUUUCUUUUGUCCAAGGUCGAUUUGUAUACAGAAGAGGGAAACACAAAGAUAGUGGAGGGCUCUACUGACUCAACUAGGAUCUUAUAUUUUGUUAUGUUAAAAACGGUUGAUUGUUGAAUGAUGUUAACACAUUUGUACUAAUUUUCAAGAUUGCUUGAUUACAUUUGUACUAAUUUAUUUGGUUCAAUUCCAUCACUCAUAUAUGCUUAAUCAUGUAUCAUGUGGUGGCGUUGAUAG
rnacentral:lncRNA from 1 species